GUGGGGAAUAUUGGACAAUGGGCGCAAGCCUGAUCCAGCCAUGCCGCGUGAGUGAUGAGGGCCUUAGGGUUGUAAAGCUCUUUCAGUGGGGACGAUAAUGACGGUACCCACAGAAGAAGCCCCGGCUAACUUCGUGCCAGCAGCCGCGGUAAUACGAAGGGGGCUAGCGUUGUUCGGAUUUACUGGGCGUAAAGCGCACGUAGGCGGAUCGUUAAGUCGGGGGUGAAAUCCUGGAGCUCAACUCCAGAACUGCCUUCGAUACUGGCGAUCUUGAGUCCGGAAGAGGUGAGUGGAACUCCUAGUGUAGAGGUGGAAUUCGUAGAUAUUAGGAAGAACACCAGUGGCGAAGGCGGCUCACUGGUCCGGUACUGACGCUGAGGUGCGAAAGCGUGGGGAGCAAACAGGAUUAGAUACCCGAGUAGUCC
rnacentral:rRNA from 1 species